UGGGUUACUCGGUUGUCCUGACCCACAUGUGUUGUGUUGUAACCCUUUGGUGUGGGAGGAUAAAUUGUAUUGCUUGUGCUCAGCUCCAGGUGUUGAUAAACAUUUUUUUAGUAGCCAUGCUUUCCUUGUAGAGGUAGGGGAGUCUUUAAGCAUUUUUGGAAGAUAAGGGUGCAGAGCACAACAGUCUGACAUACAGUGUUAUGCUCCUGAGGCUACCUAGCAUCCAAUGAAUCCUUGGGAGCAUGGGAGACGUUGUACAGCAACCACUUUUGGAAAGGCAUUGAACUUCUUCAUUGGAUUCAGAGUUUAACUGGAGACUCUUCAUCAAUGCUGGUAUGCAGGAGUGGGUGCCCUGUGAUAGGCUAGAAAUGGCUCAGAACAGUCUUUCAUCCUGUGCAGUUACUGUAUGCCCCAGCUCUUUGAGACACUAAACUAGAUGAAGCAGGUUAGAACAAAAGGAAGAAAAAUAAAUAUGCGCUGACGGAUUCCAAAGGUGGCCACCAAAAACGUCAUGUCCGUCAAACCCAGAUGACAUUUUUUCUGGCCUCUUCACAUGACAUCAAUUCUGGCUCCUUGAGAUGACAUUGUUACCAGUUCCACAUCACUUCCAGUCCGUCUUUGAUGAUGUUGCAUCUGUCCCAUAGCUUCGACGUCAUCUCCUGCCAACUCACCUCCCGUCUCCAUUUUGUUUUGUCCAUAUAUAAACGCCAUGUUUGCAUGUAAUGAUUGCCAAACAUGAUUUAUGUUUUUGAUCAUAAACAAAGUGUACAUCUGUUUCUUUGUCCUAUGGACAUUAUACGGGGAUGGUCCCCAAAACUUUGUAUUUGUGGAAGCCUCUUAUUUGGAAAAUAGACUUAUCACACCUUGCAGUUUCAAUUUAUGCAAUUAUUCUCAGCAGUAAAGACUCAAAAGAA